rnacentral:lncRNA from 1 species
AUGCCCCUGACCUCCAUAACCUCCAGGCUGAGGAGGGAGAGGCUGGCCAGGACCAGGGUGAGCCCCAGAGGGUCCCCAGGCACCAGGGGGGGCAGCGAGGAGAGCAGCUUCAGUAGCCAAUCCUCCAUCGACUUGGAGGUAGAGGUGGAUGACAAUAAGAGAGACUUAAGAGACAUAAGAGAGACUACAGCAAAACAACACACUGGAGAGACUUUUGAGGGAAGGUUGCAGUUGGAUCUAGACUCAUCUGGAAAGUUUAAUGUUGGAGAUUACAGUCAGGAUAAUGCAGACCAUAGGAAUAGGGAGUCGACAAGACAUCAGGGUGCCUUUCCUAGGGAUAACAAGGAAGGAGUAUCUAUCAAAUCUGACCCUGGAGGGAGAGGGUACAAAGCAAUAAUUGAGUUGAGUCACCAACUUAACCCCGAUUUGACGAAUUUCAAAGAUGUUAACAGCACUUCAUGCUUUGAGAGGGACUGUGAGGGUGAGGUUGUGGCAGUGGAAUGGACAAAGGUGAUGUGCUCAGGGGGUCUCUCAAAAGAGACUACCAGUACUGAGCCAACUACCACAUGUCCCUUUGCAUCUAAAAGAAAUGGAAACAAAGAGAUUCAAGUUGAUGACAAUGCAAAGACUAGUAUUGUGGAUGACACCAAGUAUCAAUGUCUUCCUUCUACUGUGAAUGUCACACUACCUGAAUUAAAUCCUCCUACAGAGAAAAAGAUCAAACCUAUCAAGCCUGUCAAGAACAAAGAGAGUAGAGGCAGCACUAGCGUCCAAACCAAUCAGUCUUUCAACGUCUUGGCACACAAAGAUCACAUUCGGGGGAACAGCAAGUCCAAAAGCAACCUGAGGACUUCACCCAUUCCUUCACAAGUCAAAGGCAAAGUCAGAAAACCUCCUGAUCUCAUCGUCAAUGGGAUAAUCUCUACAAAGACUGGUCAGAAAAGCACAGACUCAACCUCUGUCAGAACGAGGGUUACAGAGCCUGUACAUCCAAGCUGCAAAAAGCUGAACAACGACAAAAAGACACUUCAAAUAAAAGUACCUUGUCAGAAACAUAUUCAGCAGAGGGAACCGAAAAGUGCCAGACAAGCCAAAACUGGGUCACAACUGGGGACCCUGAGGGCCAAGUCAGCUGUGGACUACAUCACGUAUAGUGAUAUCUUCCAGGAAAUCAACACCGGGGAUGAGGAGGGACCAGUCAUCUAUGAGAUGUUUGCCGGCCCGGUGUUUGACAACAUAAGAGUUUCCAGUUCAUGUGAGAGGACGAGGCAGGUCCUGUCUGCCCCGUCUAGGAAGACCCAAACCCACAGGACCAAACACAAAUGCCCUAAACCACUGGAGAGCAGAAGAGUGAGGCGAAGCCCUGUGGACAAGGCCAAGCAGAGGAAGAACAGGGCUAUUAGGCCUAUAUCCAGGGGAAAGUCGCAUCUGACGCCUAUCGCCAGCACGCAUGACAAAGACCACGUGGUGGUUAUUUCUGGGCUUGACUGGCAAAUCCACAUCCAGACUAAGACUGAGCUGGUCCUCAGUAAAGAUGGAGAAGAGACAGUCUCUCCCAGCACACCAGAGGUUCAGGAGGGGGACCAUAUGUUGUCAUUGUCAGUGAUCGAAGAAGUGCUGUCUAUGUCCAGCCAUGCGCCAAACCCACUAAUCUCUCACCACCGGCCGAGAGACGAAACCUCCCCCAGUCAGACAAAGACUAAACUCACAUCUCAUUCUGACCCAGAUGAUGAUCACCUCCAUGUGCUGCACAAUAGGGGACCCAUGGGGAACAACAUGUCAGAAAAUGAGAAAAACAAGGCAAAUCAUUUAGACCAUUCAUUCACCCCAUCCAAUUGCCCUGUGCAGCCUAAGAUCAACACCUGGACCUCAGGUAGCUGUGACAGCAGGACAGUGUCCCCGGUGUUCCAGAAGUUUCUGGAUGAUGUGGGGGAGGGACCACUGACCGAUGACCUGCUCCGUUGUCUGGCAGAAGAGCUGAUAUCACUGGAUGAGAGAGAUGGUGUAUGUCCAGAAAACAACUGUGACUCAGACCAGAGGGAAUUCAGAAACAAUUCUGAGCUGAGAUGUGAGAAGUCAUUACUGGGGGUAAGUUGGCACUAG